GUUAUGUGUUAAGUUUUUAAGUUACUAACGUAGAUUACAAGUAACACUUACUAACAAAAUGUAUGGUUUAUUUGCUGAAAUCUAUCUAUAUAUACCUAUAUAUAUAAAAAUGAAUUGCUGUUCGUUAGUCUCGCUAAAACUCGAGAACGGCUGGACCGAUUUGGUUAAUUUUGGUCUUGAAUUAUUUGUGAAAGUCCAGAGAAGGUUUAAAAGGUAGAUAAAUAUGAAAAUGCUCGGAAUUAAAUAAAAGUAACAAUUUUGUUUUCCCUUUGGUGUUUCCCCCGUUGCAGCGUUGGUCGGAUUCCUUUUGUUUGUUUUAAGUUUAUUUUAUGAGUUUAUUUUAUUUUAUUUGAUGUGUUUUAAGUUUGUGUUAUAUUAUGAGUAUAUACAUAUUCUAAAUAGAUUAUUAUUAUGAAGAAAAAUUAGUUUGUUUACGCUAAUGACCAGCUAGUCUAACUUUUAGUAGUUUCGUAAUUCUUUAAAUCUAAACCUAUCUGUGUGCUUAGUGCGAGUUAAUUUUAACUUCGCGAUCGCGUAAAAGUUAACUCAAAUUUGUAUGGAGUUGGAACAGCGCCCCUAGCGGCGAACGUAGGUGCACAGGCAAACGAGAAGUUAAAAAAACGCCCACUAAGCACACCGACCAGAACGUAUAGUUUCGUAGCAUAAAUAAUAAAUAAAAUAAUAAUUAUUAUUACUAGCUGUUACUAGCUAGCUAAUACUAGCUGUACCCGUCCGCUUCGCUGGGCACUUAACAUUAACAUUAUAAUUUCUCACCCCCACAAAGAUCAUCAUUAACGCCCCCGCAACUGAUGUAGGGAGUCCAAUACUCAUAUAAAUAUUAGCCUAUCCAUUAAGUACGUGUAUUUUCUACAUGGAUACCAAGUUUCAAGUCAAUCGGAUGCAUGGUUCAGUAGUUAUAACGGAACAUCCGUAAAAACUACUGUACAUAUAUACAUAGGUAUAUUAGUAUAGAUAACACGGCGGCGUACGUAAUGAGACUUCGAACUCAUGCGUCAAAGUGGGUUGCGUGAUUCACGUUGUGUCACCUAUGGACUGUAGUAGCUGGUUAGCACUAGACGUGUUAGCUGAUCUUUUUUUUAUUGCCCUUAUAAGCAGACGGGUAUAUCGCCUACCUAAUGAUGAGGUGGUUACCGUCAUCCAUGGACGUCAGCAAUACCAGGGACAAAGCCAAGCCGCAGUGUACUGUUGAGCCAAGUAUGCCACCCUACCUACUUCUGCCGUGAAGCAGUAAUGAGUUUCGGUUUGAAGGGUGGGGCAGCCGUUGUAACUAUACUGAGACCUUAGAACUCGUGUCUCCAGGUGGGUGACGGCAUUUACGUUGCAGAUGUCUAUGGGCUCCGGUAACCACUUAACACCAGGUGGGCUGUGAGCUCGUCCACCCAUAUAUGCAAUAAAAAAAGCUUCCCAAGUGUACCAAUAAAAAAGACCGACAAUGUUAAUUUGAAUGAAGUCAAUUGAUCGUGAAUAAUGAGGAUUUCCUCACAUAUGGAUAAAAAAAAUGUCGAUCCAAGUCACCUGUCGGAAGGUGAGCGUUCGGAAACGGAAGUGUCCGGUGUCGGUCGUAACCGGAUACUGGGGAUGAGCCUUCGGCCAACUGAAACAGAGGGCUACGUCGGUUUGUAAUUACAAAAUAAAGAUUUAAUUUAUAUAGCGACCCGACCUCGCUUCGCUUCGGAAACAUUAAAUUUUAUUAUUGAAAGCUGAGUCCAGCGAUGUACCUAACCCGCGGUCAUUAUUGUACCGCGGGCGACGCCGCGAGGCAAAGCUAGUCUAAAAAAAUUGGCCUAAGUUACUCUUUAUAUCAUCAGCUACCUAUCAGUGAAAGUCCCGUCAAAAUCCGUCCAGUCGUUCCAGAGAUUAGCCGCAACAAACAGACAGACAGACAAAAAUUGUAAAAAAAUGUUAUUUUGAUGUAUGUACCGUAUAUAUAUUCAUAUGUAUGUAGUAAAAAGCAGUUAUUUCAAUAUUACAAACUAAUUUUAUUUAUAAGUAUAUUUUAUGUUUUUUUUAGGAGGGACGAAUUACUGAUGGCCCGGAAGCCUUUCAAGUUUUACCAGAGAGAGCACGGGCUCUGCCAAGAAUGUUGGAAUUUGUUGACAGCAUGCCCGACCGUCUUCGCAGGAGUCCUAACAGCCCAAGGACAGCUGCUUCGCGAAUGAAUCUACUACGAGAUCGGAAUCGCGACUCGCAGAGAAGAUUCGAAUCUACCACCGGAUCGGAAACGCGACCCACUGAGAAGAUCCGGCGAGAAGCUCAAUGGGCUAUGUCUAUGGGUUAAUUUACUCGUCGAGCCCUUCGUCGCUAGCGACGGGUUCGGCGAGGACGGCGACCGGUGCUUGUGGUACCUAAAAGCACUGUUAAUGGAUCGGGAGGAUCCGUAAUGACGUGUUUAGGGGACGUCGACUGUUUACCAUUCGGUUCACAGGAUGGGCUAUGAUUUGUUUACCGACAAAUCGGUUACGGUUUUGGAAUAAACAAACGCAAUCUCCUUCAUGCCAACCGAAGCUUGAAAACAGAACAACUUGGCUUGGCUCUUACUCAUAUCUACAACAUCGAUAAAAACAAACUCCCUAGCUUGAGCACUUCGUAGAUGAUAGCUGCAAAAUGGUGACGACAUAGUCCAAAACAUAUUUAAAAAAAAUUAAAUUUAAGACUGGAAAUGCUUAAUAAAUAAAUAAGUUAGAGAAAGUAUCUAUGUGAAAUUAAAAUAUAAUAAUUUAAUUCAACAGAUACCGUUUUAUACGUAAAAAUGAUAUUAUAUUGUAUUCAUAGCAAUAAAGCUUUAGUGGCGGA